rnacentral:rRNA from 1 species
AUUGAACGCUGGCGGCAGGCCUAACACAUGCAAGUCGAACGAGUGGCGGACGGGUGAGUGAUGUCUGGGAAACUGCCUGAUGGAGGGGGAUAACUACUGGAAACGGUAGCUAAUACCGCAUACCAUCAGAUGUGCCCCGAUGGGAUUAGCUUGUUGGUGGGGUAACGGCUCACCAAGGCGACGAUCACUAGCUGGUCUGAGAGGAUGACCAGCCACACUGGGACUGAGACACGGGCCAGAUUCCUACGGGAGGCAGCAGUGGUGAAUAUUGGACAAUGGGCGCAAGGCUGACGCAGCCAUGCCGCGUGUAUGAAGAAGGUCUUCGGGUUGUAAAGCACUUUCAUCGGGGAGGCGUUACCCGCAGAAGAAGCACCGGCUAACUACGUGCCAGCAGCCGCGGUAAUAC